GAUGAACGCUGGCGGCGUGCCUAAUACAUGCAAGUCGAGCGAACAGACGAGGAGCUUGCUCCUCUGACGUUAGCGGCGGACGGGUGAGUAACACGUGGAUAACCUACCUAUAAGACUGGGAUAACUUCGGGAAACCGGAGCUAAUACCGGAUAAUAUAUUGAACCGCAGGGUUCAAUAGUGAAAGACGGUUUUGCCGUCACUUAGAGAUGGAUCCGCGCCGCAUUAGCUAGUUGGUAAGGUAACGGCUUACCAAGGCAACGAUGCGUAGCCGACCUGAGAGGGUGAUCGGCCACACUGGAACUGAGACACGGUCCAGACUCCUACGGGAGGCAGCAGUAGGGAAUCUUCCGCAAUGGGCGCAAGCCUGACGGAGCAACGCCGCGUGAGUGAUGAAGGUCUUCGGAUCGUAAAACUCUGUUAUUAGGGAAGAACAAAUGUGUAAGUAACUAUGCACGUCUUGACGGUACCUAAUCAGAAAGCCACGGCUAACUACGUG
rnacentral:rRNA from 1 species